rnacentral:rRNA from 1 species
GACGAACGCUGGCGGCGUGCUUAACACAUGCAAGUCGAACGGAAAGGCCCUGCUUUUGUGGGGUGCUCGAGUGGCGAACGGGUGAGUAACAAGUGAGUAACCUGCCCUUUACUUUGGGAUAACUUCAGGAAACUGGGGCUAAUACCGGAUAGGAGCUCCUGCUGCAUGGUGGGGGUUGGAACGUUUCGGCGGUUGGGGAUGGACUCGCGGCUUAUCAGCUUGUUGGUGGGGUAGUGGCUUACCAAGGCUUUGGCGGGUAGCCGGCCUGAGAGGGUGACCGGCCACAUUGGGCCUGAGAUCCGGCCCAGACUCCUACGGGAGGAAGCAGUGGGGAAUAUUGCACAAUGGGCGGAAGCCUGAUGCAGAAACGCCGCGUGCGGGAUGACGGCCUUCGGUUUGUAAACCGCUUUCGCCUGUGACGAAGCGUGAGUGACGGUAAUGGGUAAAGAAGCACCGGCUAACUACGUG